rnacentral:rRNA from 1 species
AACGAUGUGUGUUAGACGUUGGAAAUUUAUUUUCAGUGUCGCAGCGAAAGCGAUAAACACACCGCCUGGGGAGUACGACCGCAAGGUUAAAACUCAAAUGAAUUGACGGGGACCCGCACAAGUAGUGGAGCAUGUGGUUUAAUUCGAAGAUACGCGCAGACCCUUACCAACACUUGACAUGUUCGUCGCGACUUUAAGAGAUUAAAGUUUUCGGUUCGCCCGGACGAAACACAGGUGCUGCAUGGCUGUCGUCAGCUCGUGUCGUGAGAUGUUGGGUUAAGUCCCGCAACGAGCGCAACCCUCACUUUUAGUUGCCAUCAUUUAGUUGGGCACUCUGAAAGAACUGCCAGUGAUAAGCUGGAGGAAGGUGGGGAUGACGUCAAGUCCUCAUGGCCCUUACGUGUUGGGCUACACACGUGCUACAAUGGUAUCUACAACAGGAAGCAAAACCGCGAGGUUAAGCAAAUCCUUAAAAGAUACCUCAGUUCGGAUUGCACUCUGCAACUCGAGUGCAUGAAGCUGGAAUUACUAGUAAUCGUGGAUCAGCGUGCCACGGUGAAUGCGUUCCCGGGUCUUGUACACACCGCCCGUCACACCAUGGGAGUUGGUUCUACCUUAAGGCAAGGUUUUAAACCCUUGACCACGGUAUAGUCAGCGACUGGGGUGAAGUCAUAACAAGGUAACCGUA